GGGCUGGAGGGCCCCCGGGGAGAAGGCUGUGACUGAUUGCAUCUUAUUACACUCUCUACCCAGAGGGCCACUGCCAGGCUGACUGUUGGUGGAGACUGGACUGAUUGUCUCGUGCGGAAGGUCUCGCGGUAACAGCUGCACUAACAGGUCUCAAGUUAUUGGCUGCUGCUCGCCCCGCCCCUAUUCCAGUUCAAAAAAAAGAGCCCAAGACUCAAGUGGAAGCCGCCGACCCCUUUGCCCUGAUGUUGCUUUGGAGUGUGCUGUUGGUCAUGCAGACCAGGCCUGGUGCAAGCAGGGGAGACUCUGCCUGGAAAUGGAAAGGAAUUAUUGUAUUUACCUCAAGGGGGCUAAAGUUGGACUGUAUCUUGUACUUACCUCAAGGGUCCUCAGAAGGAAAUCUGAAAUGGAGUCUGGAGGUGAACAUUCCAAGGUCAGUAAGGAUUCCAAGCUGCAGAGACUCCAGGUCCUGUCUUGGUGCUCUGCCAUCCUGCCAUCCUCUGCCAUGGCCCAUGUCUGCAUGAAUAUUUGAACACAUGGGUGGAUGGAUAUUCCAGCCAGCAGGACUGAGUCCUUCACUCUGCCCAGGAAAACGCUGAGAUGAAUUCUGCCAUGAGCAAGCAAGGCAUUUCAUCUGACUGACUCAGGUUCAUAAUCAACAAAGAAGAAUAUGCGCAUCUAUGCUAAGAAAGUGCUGACGAGCGGAACUGCUUCUGUAUCUUUGACCUGUGAAGUGUGUUUUUCUGAUUGAUCUUGGAACUUAUAUUUUUUGCUUACCAAAGAGAGGGAUUUUUUAAAAACACAUUUGCAAUGUUUAACAAUUGAACAAAGAACGUCAGUAAACUCCCUUGCCUAACUA
ensembl:lncRNA